rnacentral:rRNA from 1 species
GAUCCUGGCUCAGGAUGAACGCUAGCGACAGGCUUAACACAUGCAAGUCGAGGGGCAGCAUGAUUUGUAGCAAUACAGAUUGAUAGCGACCGGCGCACGGGUGAGUAACGCGUAUGCAACUUGCCUAUCAGAGGGGGAUAGCCCGGCGAAAGUCGGAUUAAUACCCCAUAAAACAGGGGUCCCGCAUGGGAAUAUUUGUUAAAGAUUCAUCGCUGAUAGAUAGGCAUGCG